UACGGAGGGGACUAGCGUUGGUCGGAACUACUGGGCGUAAAGCGCACGUAGGCGGAUUUGUAAGUCAGGGGUGAAAUCCCGAGGCUCAACCUCGGAACUGCCUUUGAUACUGCAAAUCUCGAGUCCGGAAGAGGUGAGUGGAAUUCCUAGUGUAGAGGUGAAAUUCGUAGAUAUUAGGAAGAACACCAGUGGCGAAGGCGGCUCACUGGUCCGGUACUGACGCUGAGGUGCGAAAGCGUGGUGAGCAAACAGG
rnacentral:rRNA from 1 species